rnacentral:rRNA from 1 species
CCUACGGGAGGCAGCAGCGAGGAAUUUUGGGCAAUGGGCGAAAGCCUGACCCAGCAACGCCGCGUGGGGGAUGAAGGCCUUCGGGUUGUAAACCCCUUUUGCCAGGGACGAUAAUGACGGUACCUGGCGAAUAAGCCUCGGCUAACUACGUGCCAGCAGCCGCGGUAAUACGUAGGAGGCGAGCGUUGUCCGGAUUUACUGGGCGUAAAGCGCGUGUAGGCGGGAGGGCAAGUCUCCUGUGAAAUCUCCCGGCUCAACCGGGAGGGGUCAGGAGAUACUGCCCUACUUGAGGGCAGCAGAGGGAAGUGGAAUUCCCGGUGGAGCGGUGAAAUGCGUAGAUAUCGGGAGGAACACCAGUGGCGAAGGCGGCGUCCUGGCCGACACCUGACGCUGAAGCGCGAAAGCGUGGGGAGCGAACGGGAUUAGAUACCCCAGUAGU